GACGAACGCUGGCGGCGUGCCUAAUACAUGCAAGUCGAGCGAAGUUUUUCUGGUGCUUGCACUAGAAAAACUUAGCGGCGAACGGGUGAGUAACACGUAAAGAACCUGCCUCAUAGACUGGGACAACUAUUGGAAACGAUAGCUAAUACCGGAUAACAGUAUUUCUCGCAUGAGAGAUAUUUAAAAGUUGGUUAUGCUAACACUAUGAGAUGGCUUUGCGGUGCAUUAGCUAGUUGGUGGGGGAAAGGCCCACCAAGGCGACGAUGCAUAGCCGACCUGAGAGGGGGAUCGGCCCAACCGGGACUGAGACACGGCCCAGACUUCUACGGGAGGCAGCAGUAGGGAAUCUUCCGCAAUGGGCGAAAGCCUGACGGAGCAACGGCGCGGGAGUGAAGAAGGAUUUCGGUUCGUAAAGCUCUGUUGGUAGGGAAGAAUGGAUAUGUAGUAACUAUACAUGUAAGAGACGGUACCUAACCAGAAAGCCACGGCUAACUACGUG
rnacentral:rRNA from 1 species